CUGUUGUUGUGGAUGGUGGUGUUACAGUAGAAGUGGAAGUUGUUGUAGGAGUUGUGGUUGACACUGUAGUAGUUCUAGAACUACCAGUAGAUGUUUCUGUUGUUGUAGAUGGUGGUGUUACAGUAGUAGUUGUAGUUGUUGUAGGAGUUGUGGUUGACACUGUAGUAGUUGUAAAGCUAGCAGUAGAUGUUCCUGUUGUUGUAGAUGAUGAAGUUACAGUAGUUGUGGUUGACACUGUAGUAGUUGUAAAGCUAGCAGUAGAUGUUCCUGUUGUUGUAGAUGGUGGUGUUACAGUAGUAGUUGUAGUUGUUGUAGGAGUUGUGGUUGACACUGUAGUAGUUGUAAAGCUAGCAGUAGAUGUUCCUGUUGUUGUAGAUGGUGGUGUUACAGUAGUAGUUGUUGUAGUAGUUGUGGUUGACACUGUAGUAGUUGUAAAGCUAGCAGUAGAUGUUCCUGUUGUUGUAGAUGGUGGUGUUACAGUAGUAGUUGUUGUAGGAGUUGUGGUUGACACUGUAGUAGUUGUAAAGCUAGCAGUAGAUGUUCCUGUUGUUGUAGAUGGUGGUGUUACAGUAGUAGUGGUAGUUGUUGUAGGAGUUGUGGUUGACACUGUAGUAGUUGUAAAGCUAGCAGUAGAUGUUCCUGUUGUUGUA